GCAAGUCGAGGGGCAGCAUAAUGGAUAGCAAUAUCUAUGGUGGCGACCGGCGCACGGGUGCGUAACGCGUAUCGCAACCUACCUUUAACAGGGGGAUAACACUGAGAAAUUGGUACUAAUACCCCCAUAAAUAUCAUAGAAGGCAUCGUUUUAUGGUUGAAAAUUCCGAUGGUUAGAGAUGGGCAUGCGUUGUAUUAGCUAGUUGGUGGGGUAACGCUCACCAAGGCGACGAUACAUAGGGGGACUGAGAGGUUAACCCCCCACACUGGUACUGAGACACGGACCAGACUCCUACGGGAGGCAGCAGUGAGGAAUAUUGGUCAAUGGACGCAAGUCUGAACCAGCCAUGCCGCGUGCAGGAUGACGGCUCUAUGAGUUGUAAACUGCUUUUGUACUAGGGUAAACUCACCUACGUGUAGGUGACUGAAAGUAUAGUACGAAUAAGGAUCGGCUAACUCCGUG
rnacentral:rRNA from 1 species